rnacentral:rRNA from 1 species
GUAGGUGGCAAGCGUUGUCCGGAAUUAUUGGGCGUAAAGCGCGCGCAGGCGGUUCUUUAAGUCUGAUGUGAAAGCCCACGGGCUCAACCGUGGAGGGUCAUUGGAAACUGGAGAACUUGAGUACAGAAGAGGAAAGCGGAAUUCCACGUGUAGCGGUGAAAUGCGUAGAGAUGUGGAGGAACACCAGUGGCGAAGGCGGCUUUCUGGUCUGUAACUGACGCUGAGGCGCGAAAGCGUGGGGAGCAAACAGGAUUAGAUACCCUGGUAGUCCACGCCGUAAACGAUGAGUGCUAAGUGUUAGGGGGUUUCCGCCCCUUAGUGCUGCAGCUAACGCAUUAAGCAUUCCGCCUGGGGAGUACGGCCGCAAGGCUG